ensembl:lncRNA
GUGCGGUGGGGGCGGGGCGGCCACUCACCUUUGUCCCUUCGGGGUGGGGUUGGGGUGGGUGACCCCAUAGAACCCCAUAGAACCCCCCUAAAACCCCCUAAAAUCCCCUAAAACUGCAUAUAAGCCCCUAAAACCCCCUAAAACCCCAUAGGACCACAUAGGACCCCAUAGGUGUGGUGGGGGCGGGGCGGCUCCUCAUCUUUGUCCCUUCGGGGUGGGGUUGGGGAGGGUGACCCCAUAGACCCCCCCACAACCCCAUAACCACCCCAUAGAACCCAUCACAACCCCAUAAAAGCCCCAUAGAACCCCAUAAGACCCCAUAGGACCCCAUAGAACCCCAUAGGACCCCAUAGAACCCCAUAGGACCCCAUAGGUGCGGUGGGGGCGGGGCGGCCGCUCACCUUUGUCCCUUCGGGGUGGGGUUGGGGUGGGUGACCCCAUAGAACCCCAUAGAACCCCCUAAAAUCCCCUAAAACCCCAUAGAACCCCAUAACCCCCCCUAAGACCCCAUAACCCCCCUAAAACCCCAUAUAAAACCCCAUAGGACCCCAUAAGUGCGGUGGGGGCGGGGCGGCCGCUCACCUUUGUCCCUUUGGGGUGGG